AUUUAGUUCUUACAUUGUUCAGAGAUGAGGUGAAUUCUACAAGUCACUUAUUAUAAACGUGGUAUUUACUGAGUAUUCACCCAAAAAAAAGAGAAGAUAUUUACUGACCUAGUUUAUCAUUGCUACAUAUUAAAUGUGCUUACCGAGCAAGUUAAAUCAUUGUUAUAUACUAAAUGUGCAGUAUGUACUAUUGCAUGAGGAUUAUCAAUUAUAUGUGUUGCCACGGAUGUUGGAGUCAAAGAAGAUGGCAAAAUCUGGACGUACAAAGCAAAAAGAAGCAGAUCUGGAGUAUAUUGUUGCAAAGCAAGUUGAGAAAAUGAUAAGCGAAGUGCAUGAACAAGCAUUAUUCUCUUGUGAUGCCAUACACUGAGAAAGGAGAAUAUUAUUAAAGCAAGAGAUUGGAAGAAUGGUGCUUUUUUUUACUGAUCAGCCAAGUUUGUUGGCUCCUAACAUUCAAGUUACUAAAAUUGGUCGAGAUGCAGUCCUGUAUGUCGAGUCUCUUUUCUUGUAUAAAAAGCUCAAUGCCAAUGUAUAAGCUAGACAAGAUGCAAGGGGAACAACAAAGUAAGGGUUGCAGGUCACUGGAAUUGGCGUUUUGCAUUCUUUGGGGAGGCAAUUGUGAUGGUUCCAUUUGCUAUUCUGGGUUUUGUUAUAAAACCUUUACAGUUGAAAGGUUUUUACCCUGCUGGAUCAAAAAAAGCAUUGACUGGUACAGAGAUAGCUGUCAUAGAACUUAAAGGUGUGACACGUUAUGAUUACUGUGCAUGGGAUCUUUUCAGUAUAAUUGCACUUUUUUCUUCUCUCUUUUCAGUUUACUACAUCACUAUUAUGUAAGAACCAAUGUGCAAAAGCCAAGAUAAUGGGUGCUAUUGAGAACAUCUACAGUAAUCCAAUAUACAUCAAGCACCUG